UCGCACUUCGCCAGCG
rnacentral:rRNA from 1 species